rnacentral:rRNA from 1 species
UACGGGAGGAUCCAAGCGUUAUCCGGAAUCAUUGGGUUUAAAGGGUCCGUAGGCGGGCCUGUAAGUCAGUGGUGAAAUCUCCCGGCUCAACCGGGGAAAUUGCCAUUGAUACUGCAGGUCUUGGAAUUAUUAGGAAGUAACUAGGAAUAUGUAGUGUAGCGGUGAAAUGCUUAGAUAUUACAUGGAAUACCAAUUGCGAAGGCAGGUUGACUACUAAUGGAUUGACGCUGAUGGACGAAAGCGUGGGUAGCGAACAGG